CCUACGGGAGGCAGCAGUGAGGAAUAUUGGUCAAUGGGCGGAAGCCUGAACCAGCCAAGUAGCGUGCGGGAUGAAGGCCCUACGGGUCGUAAACCGCUUUUGCACGGGGAUAACACCCUCCACUUGUGGAGGUCUGCAGGUACCGUGCGAAUAAGGGCCGGCUAAUUCCGUGCCAGCAGCCGCGGUAAUACGGAAGGCCCGAGCGUUAUCCGGAUUCAUUGGGCUUAAAGGGGGCGUAGGCGGGCGUUCAAGUCAGCUGUAAAAGCGCGCGGCUCAACCGCGCCCCGCAGUUGAAACUGGACGCCUUGAGUUCACAACAGGCAGGCGGAAUUCGUGGUGUAGCGGUGAAAUGCAUAGAUAUCACGAGGAGCCCCGAUUGCGAAGGCAGCCUGCCGGGGUGCGACUGACGCUGAGGCUCGAAGGUGCGGGUAUCAAACAGGAUUAGAUACCCCGGUAGUC
rnacentral:rRNA from 1 species